UCCACACCUUAGAUAGCACAUCAUCUGCUCAGGAAAUGUGCCUUCAGCAUACAAGGGAGUUGGCGCCAGCUCCAGCCAAUGCAUUAUGGCAUUGGUGUGCCUACAACAGACGUUGGGUUUUUUUUUUUACAAGUUGUUUUGAGUGAAGUGUGUAUGUGGCUCUAGGGAGUGCAGGUGCUUGUGGAGGCCCAGAAGGAGGAGGAGAGGGGGGGGAGGUGGAGGUGGAGGAAAAAGAGGAGCCAGUGAAUAAAAGUUACUCUGUCUUUCUUAAACAUCUUCAAGGUCUCUGGGAAGGAAUAAAUUCCCAAGUGAGAGAGUUUCCUUGGAGAAGACUGCCCUGGCACUUGACUUGGGCGAAAUCUGACGAGUUGACGCCUUGUAUCCAUGCUCGUUGUUCCUUUUUCCUAUGCAUAUACCUCUUUGAGAAGUAGCAUUAAAGAGGCAUAGGGCAUGGGAAAAUGGGGCUGCAGAGGUGUUCCACUGGAGUUUUCAACGAAACCUCAUCUACAGAGAAAGGGUUGAUUAAACAUGCUUUCCUAACCGCUUUCAUUAUCUGCCACUCUACCCAAAGGAGUGUACAGCUCUUAGCAGCAUGAUUGUUUUUAUUUGCUACAUGGGAUGCUGUGAGAAAACAGUGAUGGUGUGAUCUUGUGAAGUGCUGAGUGAGAAUUGCAAACCUAGGAAAAGCAAUGCUCUGCCUGUCUGUAAUUUAAUAAAGAAACUGAAUUGAAUAGCA